CAUCCCAGGGGGUGCCCACAUUUUAGCUUGCUUGUUGCUGGGGAAAAGACUUGCUGCUUUGUGUUUCAUUUGAUGAAGAGCUUCUUUUCAUUUAGUCAGUCACUUAUUUCCAGAGAUUUCCUGGUGAUACUGCCUUACAUUUAUUUGUGGAAAUGCCAGUAUAUUUUAAGCUUGCAGCUUCCAUAAGUCAGGAUUCCAGUCACAGCUUAGCUGGAUCCUCUCAGAAGGCUGCGAUCAAGGUGUCAGCCAGACUGAGUUCUCAUCAGAGGCUCAACUAGGAGAGGAUCUGCUUCCAAGUUCCCUCAGGUUGUUGGAAGGAUUCAUUUUCUUGUGGCUAAGCUCACAGCAGCUUUCUUCUUCAAGGGCAUCAGGAGAGUGGAGAGCAAGUCUACUCAGAGACUUCCAUACAAAUCAUAAGGUAAUCACAUGAGGGACAUACCAUCAUCUUUGCCAUAUUCUGUUGGUUACAAACAAGUCACCAGUUCCACCUGCACUCAAGGGGAGGAGGUUACACAGGGUGAACAUGGGGGCCAUCUUAGAAUUCUGCUCACUUUACAGUUGAAACAGUAUUUUUUAAAAUGCCAAUGAAAUCCAAGAUAGAGAGUUUAUCUUGGAUAAACUUUUAGCACCUUUUGAUUAACAUGCCUGUUGGACUUUACAACUGUAAGAUUAGUAAGCACAAGAUGCCCCAGUAUUUCAAGGAUUUAAAGGGAACAUGGUAAAAAGGUACUCUUUGUUAUGCAAAAUCUAGCAAUCUAGCAUUGCUGUGGCCCUGGCCAGUUUGCAGCUCUGGCCAAAAGAGGGCUGCUGAGUCCAGCCCUGUCCACAGUGUAUACGGGCACACCUGAAUACAUCAUGCACAGCAAUCCUGUUUGUGGCACCACUGAUGAAUUACCCCUACUCAAGUGAACAGGCAUUGAGACCCUAAGGGGACCACAGGGUCUGGUUCAUUCACCACAAACACAGUCUUCCUUAAAUGUUAGCAAUGAGUUUAGUCAUCUCAUUAGGAGACUUGAACAGAAGUGAAGGUAAACACUCUUCAUGU